rnacentral:lncRNA from 1 species
AAGAUAUGCAGGGCUAUACAAUAUGGUUCAAAAUUCCUGAGUAAUGGAGAGCCUGGCACUGCACAAAAUGUUGACAAAUCAACUAGCUUAGCAAGGAAAGUGUUCCGUCUUUUCAAGGUUAGGACAAUUCAUGUUAACCCGUUAAUUUCUAUUGUUUUAAAGAGUGGUACUAAUAAUAACAAUAGCAUUUAUGUUCAACAUUAUCAAUUAUAUCUUAACCGUUUCUGCUGCAGUUUAUGAAUGAUCUGCAUGGUCUUAUUAGCCCAACUGCCCCAGGAACCCCACUUCCUCUCAUCUUGUUGGGAAAGGUAAACAAUGACUCUCUCUUCUUGUGGUCUCUUCAUUAUUCUUGUAUUACCUGUCUAACAACGCUGCUGGUUAUUUCAGUCAAAAAAUGCAUUGCUGUCAACUUUCUUGUUUCUGGAUCAAAUUGUGUGGCUUGGAAGGACAGGCAUUUACAAGGUAAUAUAUUUUUUUUUUUUGUAUUGAGUAGUCGUUCAGUUUCUCUAGAGAUAAGAUAGUGAAGAGAAAAUGUGCUCACAUUCUUAUUUUGUUUUACACAGAACAAAGAACGCCAUGAGUUAAUUGGCAGGAUCUCUCUCUUUUGUUGGAUGGGUUCCUCGAUAUGCACUACCUUAGUGGAGAUUGGGGAGCUCGGAAGGCUUUCAGCAUCAAUGAAAAAACUGGAGAAGGAACUUAAGAAUACCGACAAAUAUAAGAAUGAGCAAUACCGGAGUAAGCUUCAGAAGUCCAAUGACUUAAUCAUUGCUUCUAGUGUUGGCUUUUAUGCCAAUAGCCUGUCUUACACUUCUGUUACCCCAGAUUGGGGAGCUCGGAAGGCUUUCAGCAUCAAUGAAAAAGCUGGAGAAGGAACUUAAGAAUACCGACAAAUAUAAGGUUUGCCAAUUCCAGGCAUCAUGCAUUAUGGUUAUUUGGUGGCACGGUGGAAUUUCCAUUUGAAGAUUAUUCUACAUUCUGAUGUUUGUGAAUUUUGCAUUGUAGAAUGAGCAAUACCAGAGUAAGCUUCAGAAGUCCAAUGAGAGGUCUCUAGCACUGAUUAAAGCAGGCAUGGAUAUAGUAGUUGCUGUUGGGUUGCUGCAAUUGGCACCUAAGAAAGUCACUCCUCGUGUAACAGGAGCCUUUGGAUUUAUUACCUCGUUGAUAUCAUGUUAUCAG